GAGAGAGAGAAAGAGAGCUUAAAGAGAGAGAGAGAAUGUGUUUUAGGGUUAGGUUGAGAGAAAUGAGAGGAAACAAGUUCCACCCUCUCAUAUUGUAACAUACCAGAUUUUGGUAUAAAAAUAAAAAUAAAUAAAAAUGGUGUGAGAAACUAUUUUUUAUUGAAUUUAGAAAAGUAAAACAUAAGUUAGAAGUGACUUGCUGAAAUUGGAAUGAAAACAGAAGAUUUAGAAUUUUCUGUUGGAAACGGGACAGAUAAAUUAGCAGAAAAUGUACAGUGUCAGAAAAUUAUGAAAACUGGAGGAUAAGCCAGAAUCAUUUUUAUGAGGCUAGAUUUAAAGUUUCAUGUCAUUCUGACACCCGGAAGGU
rnacentral:lncRNA from 1 species